ACAGCAAUAUAGAAGGUCAGGCUGAAGACCUUACCCGAUUAGCUGAGAGGUGGUGCAUGGCCGUCGUCAGUUCGUACUGUGAAGCAUCCUGUUAAGUCAGGCAACGAGCGAGACCACGUCCACAGUUGCCAGCAUACCCUCCGGGGUGAUGGGUACACUGUGGAGACCGCCGCUGCUAAACCGGAGGAAGGUGGGGAUGACGUCAAGUCCUCAUGGCCUUUAUGACCAGGGCUACACACGUACUACAAUGGCCGAUACAAAGGGCAGCGACACUGCGAGGUGAAGCCAAUCCCGUAAAAUCGGUCUCAGUCCGGAUUGGAGUCUGCAACUCGACUCCAUGAAGUUGGAAUCGCUAGUAAUCGUGGAUCAGCAUGCCACGGUGAGUACGUUCCCGGGCCUU
rnacentral:rRNA from 1 species